rnacentral:rRNA from 1 species
UACGGAAGGCAGCAGUGGGGAAUAUUGCACAAUGGGCGAAAGCCUGAUGCAGCUAUGCCGCGUGUAUGAAGAAGGCCUUAGGGUUGUAAAGUACUUUCAUCGGGGAGGAAAAAACAAAACUAAUAAUUUUAUUUCUUGACGUUACCCGAAAAAGAAGCACCGGCUAACUCCGUGCCAGCAGCCGUGGUAAUACGGAGGGUGCUAGCGUUAAUCAGAAUUACUGGGCGUAAAGAGCACGUAGGUGGUUUUUUUAAGUCAGAUGUGAAAUCCCUGGGCUUAACCUAGGAACUGCAUUUUGAAACUGAAAUACUAGAGUAUCGUAGAGGGAGGUAGAAUUCUAGGUGUAGCGGUGAAAUGCGUAGAUAUCUGGAGGAAUACCUGUGGCGAAAGCGGCCUCCUAAACGAAUACUGACACUGAGGUGCGAAAGCGUGGGGAGCAAAACAGGGAUUAGAUACC